GCCUCAUAUAUUUAAAGCAAAAAUUAACUGAAAAAAUAAUAUAGAUAGAUACAUCUAUGAUUAUAUUGGAAAAUUUUACUAUGCUUUUCUCAAUAAUUGAGAGAAAAAGCAGACAAAAAUUAAUGAUACAUAACAACAUAAUAAAGAGAUAUAUACACUUGACCUAAUGGACAUAUAUAACACUGCAUCAUAUAUUCUUUAAAAAAUGACAUGAAAUAUUUAUUGACCAUAUAUUGAAUCAUAAACAAUCAACAAAUUUCUUUUUUUUUUUUUUUUUGGUCUUUUUGCCAUUUCUUGGGCCACACCUGUGGCAUAUAGAAGUUCCCAGGCUAGGGGUCUAAUCGGAGCUGUAGCCACCGGCCUAUGCCAGAGCCACAGCAACACAGGAUCAGAGCCGUCUCUGCAACCUACACCACAGCUCAUGGCAAUGCCGGAUCCUUAACCCACUGAGCAAGCCCAGGGAUCGAACCCGCAACCUCAUGUUCCUAGUCGGAUUCGUUAACCACUGAGUCACGGCAGGAACUCCCACAAUCAAGAAAUUGCUAAGAAAAUCAUAUGAAGAAGGUGUUAUAAGAACAAUACAAUCUAUAAAUCAGUUUUUCUUAAAUAUCAGAAACUUCCCAUGGGUUAGAAGCAAGUUAGAAAUCAGAAAAAGCAUAAAAGAAAGAAAAUUAAAAUAGAAGACAGCAAAACUAGGAACAUCUGUUUAUUUUGAAGAAAUUACAUUUUUUAAAAGCAUAUAUUAAAAGACAGAAAAAAUUGAGCUAAACAUUCAUUUCACUCAAUUAAAGAAAAUCACAUUAAAGUCCAAAAAAUGUAGAAAGGCUAAAUAUUCAAAGAGAAAUUAAUGAACUAGAAAGCGUAAACACAAUAGAGAGGAUCGAUGUCAAAAUUUGGCUCUCCAAAAAGACAAAUAAAACUGAUAAAAUACUAAUGAACAAAUAAGAGAAGACACACCCAUAUUAGAAACAACAAAAGGAACAUCUUGCAGACAUUAAAGAGAUUAAGAGGAUAUUAUGAACAGCUUAUGACAAUAAAUAUAAAUUUAGGACAAAUGGAUGAAUUCCCAGAAAAAUGUAACUAUGACUCAAGGAGAAAGAGGAAACAUGAAUAAUCUCACAGCCAUGAAAGAAACUGUAUCAAUAAUGAAAAGUCUUCUCACAACUAAACUCCAGGCACAAAUGACUCCAUUGGCCAAUUAACCAAAUAUAACUCAUGCUUACUAUAGAAGCUAGCACAAUUUUGAUACCAAAACCCAAAGCAAUUAUAAGGUACAGGAGAGUUAAGGUCAACCUAACUACAAACAAAGAUGCAAAAUGCCCAACCAAAUAAUGGCAAACUAAAUUCAGAAAUAUAUAAAAAUAACAGUACAUUUUAACAAAGGAAGAUUUAUUCCAAGAAUAUGUUUAGUUCAACAUGAAGAAGACAAUUUAAUUCACAUCACUGUCCCACUAUCUCAGUACAAGAAAUGCAGGAGAAUUAUUUAAUAAUAUCCAAUAAUUAUUCUUGGUAACAAAAUAUUUAGCAAAAUAGGAAUAAGGGAAUAAAGAGAAAAACUUAAUCUUGUAUCUUAGAGGCUGACAAACCUUUUCUUGUUAAAGAGCCAGAUAAUAAAUACUUUCAGCUUUGCAGGCCAUAUGAUCCCUGUCACAUUACUCAACUUUGCCAUUUCAGUGCAAAAAUGGCUGUAGAAAAUAGUGUUUACAUGAAUGGCAUAGUUAUAUUUCAAUAAAAUUUUACUUACAAAACCAGGUGGGAGGCCAGAUUGGGCCUCUGGGCCAUAGACUGCUGACUCCUAAGUUAAGGGGUAUCUAUAAAACAUAACCUAUUGGUACUUAUCACAAUUAAUGACAAAAGAAUUUCUCAGUGUUACAAUUAUGCUUCAUCUUCCAUUUGAUGAUCUGAUCAGUGCAAUAAGGUAAGAAAAAUAAAUAAAAGUACAAGAAUGGUUAGGAAGAAACAGAAGUUAUUAUUUGCAGAAGAAAUAAUUGUGUAUAUAUAAAAUCCAAAGAACCUAUAGAUAAAUUUUUAAUUUUUAGGGAUAAUUUAGUAUGGUUUCUGGAUAUAAAAAUCAAUAUAAACAUGUAUUCCUAACAAUAAAUACAAUUUGAAGUGUGAUAUAUUUACAAUUGUGAUUGAUAAUAUAAGGUACCUAAGAAUAUUUAUGAAACUAAUUGAAAAACAUUUAAAAAGAAAUUUAUGAAAAGAAAUUUCUGAAAGUAAAUUUAUGAAAUUGAAAAACAUUUAAGAUGACCAAAUAAAUGGAAAUAGAAAAUAUUUUCAUACAUUGAAAUACCUCUAUUUUAGAAAUGGCAGUUCUUCCCUACUCUACAGAUUCAAUACAAUUGCAAACAAAAUCUCAACAGUUUUUUUGUAAAGUUUGACAAGCUGAUUUUAAAAUAUAUGCAAAAUUUCAAGAGGUAAGAAAUGCAAAAAUAUUUUUGAAGAACAAGGUAGAAGAACUUGCUCUAACAGACAGCAAGACUUAUUUUAAAAUUCAAGUCAAUAAUAUAGCAUGGUAUUAGUCCAAUGACAAACAGCUAGGACACAAGCCACAUUGGUGUGAACAUUCAUAUAUGACAGAAGUAGCACCAUCAGUAAAGACAUAGAAGCUUUUUAAGUAAGUGGUGCUGAGAAAGAUGGAUAUCCCUGGAAAUAAACUAAAAUCAGACUCUUAUUCAUGCAAAUUACUAAAAUCAAUCAGAAAAUACCAACAUGAAAACAUAAAACUAUAAGCAUUUGGAAAUAAUAAAGAAACAUACCCAUCUGACCUUAGAGUGGGGAGAUUUCUUUAAACACACAUAACAAGCCAAAAAACACAAAUACAAACAAAAUUAUCCGUGAAGAAAGCUAUUGGUAAAUUCUUUCACAUAACAUUAAGAACAUCUGCUUAUCUAAAGGACUAAAGAAAAGAAAACUAUAAAUCAUAGAGGAAGAUAUCUGCAAUGUAUAAACACAAAAAGAAAUUGGUAUCUAGAAUUUAUAAUAACUCCUACAGAUUUUUUUAAAGACGAGACAGUAGAAAAGCAGACAAACAUUUUAACUAGAAAAGUGGCUAAAAACAAAAUAGUCCAAAUGGAAAAUAAACAUAAAAAAUGAUUCACAAUUUCAUCAGUAAUUAGGGUCAUACAGAUUUCCACAAUCAUUACAUAGCUGUCAGACUCACAGAAAUUUUAAAAGUUUAAUUACACUAGAAUGGGUAACAAUGUAGCAAUGGGAAACCUUAGGUACUGCUGGGAAUUCUUUGACAUUAUAUAUUUAAAUAUUUAUAUCCCCUUAGAUUCAACAAUUCUACAUCUACAGAAACUGGUACGUAUGUGAUCUAGAAAACAAGAACAAGUAUAUUCAUAGUGGGAAAUAUACCAAAUGUAUCACAAUGAGAAAAUACAUAUAUAUUGCGUUAUACCCACAUAAGGAAAUGGUAUACAUUUAAAAAUUCACGAAUUAUAUACAAUCACAGUGAAUAUAACAAUGUGGAUAGAUCUCACAAAUACAAUAUUGAGAUACAGAAGCUAAGCAAAAAGAAGUAUAUGAUUCCAUUCAAAUAGUUUUUUAAAAACCAGCUAAACUAAAAUGUAGUUAUUUUAGAGAUGCAUAUGAUAGUGUUAACACCCCCAUUCUUUAUAGAUUUAUGACAAAAGACCACAGAAUGGAUACAUUCAGUUCAGAGAUGGGGUUUGACUAGAGAGGGAUAGUGGGAGUUGGGAGUUCUGGGGAGCUGGCUUGCUUCUAUUUCUUCACUUCAGGUGACACACAGUGUUCACUCCAGAACUAUUUCUUCAUGUAACAACUAUUUGUUUUAUAACCUUUUCUAUAUACCUACUAUAUAAAAACAAAACAAAAUCACAACAAAACAUUUUGGUAAUAUCUUAUGUUCUUGUUCACUGAAAUCUUUAGUUUUCAUUCUGUUAUACCAAACAACUAUCCUGCAAUUUCUUAUAUUUUAUAAAUUAUAUUUCUCCCACUUAAAUGUGUUCCCUUCUGUUAUUGAACUUCAUAGCCUGGAAGAUAGGAGACUUCCCAUCAUGUUUAUUUACACUGUAACAAUGAAUUUAUACAUGCCAAAAAAUAUAUGAUAUACAGAAUGGCAGUUUCCCCACCCCUACCUUUCAAAGCUACUUAAG
rnacentral:lncRNA from 1 species